GGAAAGCAGAAAAAAGAAAAGUUAUACAUGUGUUAGUGAGUAGUAACAGUAACAUGUAUACAAUGAAAUAAUCGAGGGGAGCACAAGACUAUCCAUGCAUCCAUAACUCAACUAGUCUUGGAUGUAGGCAGAAAACAUCUUUUUUUUAUUCAUCUGAAUCUAGAAAUGUUUGGAAUUUGAUUUUUAAUCUUGUAAGCGUUGAUAAAUGACAACACAAUUGGUAUCACCUUUUUCGUCAAUUUCAGAACAUUUUGCCGAUGCCAUCUUGUCUAGGGAUAGAUUCAUUGAUAUCCAUUUUACGCCAUUUGCCCAUUAGUGACCCUAUUUCAUCAGCUUUGUCAUACAAACCUAGUAGCCCACCUGUGUGUAUGAACAGAAUCUUUCUUCCCUCCCACUUUGUUGGAUUCUCGCCCAUGUCUUUCAUCAUUCCAUAAGC
rnacentral:misc_RNA from 1 species